AAGUCGUAACAAGGUUUCCGUAGGUGAACCUGCGGAAGGAUCAUUAUCGUGGAGCUCCGGCUCCUUCGAGGGAGAACCCUUGCCUUUUCGAGCACCUGUUUGUUUCCUCGGCAGGCCCGCCUGCCAAUGGGGACCCCUUUAAACCCUUGCAAUAACCUGUAAUGAAAUCGUCUGAAUAAAACAAACGAAUCAAAACUUUCAACAACGGAUCUCUUGGUUCUG
rnacentral:misc_RNA from 1 species